rnacentral:lncRNA from 1 species
AUGCACCCCCUGCACAUCUGUAGGCCUAGGCAUCUGUUUGAUGACUGUCACUUUUCCUGGGUCCACUUUCAACCCCUCUGAUGUUAGCAGGUGGCCAAUGUAGGGCACUUCCUUCAGCCUGAGCUGCAGCUUCUCCGGAUUCAGCUUGAUAUUGAGCUUCCUGCAUCUGUCCAGGAGCAUUUUCAGGUUUUUGUCAUGGUCCAGAGUCGCCGCUUCAUCAUUGUCUCCUUCUCCCACAAUCAGGAUGCCAUCUGCAAUGAUUUGGCCUCCUGGAAGACCUUCCAUUGCCUGGUUUAACUUCCUCUGAAAGGUCUCUGGGGCUGGACUGAUUCCCAUUGGCAUGCGCAGCCACCUGUAGCGUCCCAUGGGAGUAGAGAACGUGGUGAGAUAGCUGGAUUCCUCCUCCAGUUCCACAUGCCAAAAUCCGUUUUUUACAUCACAGAGAACACGCGUGCUCUGUUCAGAUCUGGCAGCACGUCUUCAAUAGUGGGAUGUGGGUAAUGGCUCCUCUUGAGCACCUUGUUGAGAGGUUUCGGAUCAAUGCAGACUCUUACUUUUCCAGACGGUUUCUUCACUACGAUCAGGCUGCUAAUCCAAUCUGUGCUUUUUUCAACUGCUUUUAUCAUCCUUCUUUUCUCUAGACCACCGAGCUCCUCUGAGUGGUUUAUGUAGUGCUACUGGCACUCUUCUCUUUGGCAGCUGGACGGCUCCAGUCGCUCAUCCACUUCGAGCUUCAGUUUGCUGUGUAAGCAUCCAUCUCCCUGGAAUACAUCAGAGUACUCCUGUUUAAUUUGCUCUUUAGUCCAGGAUCAUGUUGUUUUCUCGAUGGCCAGGAUGUUGUGAUGUUACACAGUAAUCAACACCAUUGUCUGGAUAGCUGUGCAUCCUAGAAUGGACCUGUGGAUAUUCUUGUGGACUUCGAUGAACUCAACUCGGUAGGUUUUCUUAUUGCGUGGAUUGAUCACUUUAAGUGUGCACUUCCCCAGUGGCGUCAUAGUACUCUUGUUAUACAUCACCAAUACGUGACUGCAGGGCUCUAGGUGACUGGCUUUUAUGAGGUUUGCAGGGAUAACAUUACAACUAGCACAGCAAUCUAGCUGAAAUCUGACUGACUUUUUUGCUGAUCAGCAUGGUUGCAAAGAGAGCUGCAUUGGGGUCUGUGGUUUUCUCCUGCACCACGUUGAUGCUCUCUGACUUUGGCCCUAGUGUGAUGCAGAGAACAUCCUCACUGCUCUCUGAGUCAGCUGACACAUUUUCCAUUGCCAGGACUCUGUUUCUCUUCCUGGUCCCUGCACUUUUGCAAACCGUAGAGAAGUGAAUGCUUUUUCCACAGGAUUUACAUUUUUGUCCAUAUGCAGGGCAUUUUUCAUUUUUUUCUCUCAUGUGUCCGUCCACAGUAUCUGCAUUGUAUAAUGCUCUGUCCCUCAGUAGGGUCUCCUCUCCCUUUUGGUCUCUCUUCCUGUGUUAUUGCAUGCACUGCUACAGGGCCCUGCACAUUUAUGACAGUCCUGCAGCUCCUCCAAUCUGUAUGCAUUUCUCUAAACUAAGAUCAGUCUCUCUGAGCAAGCGCUCUCUUAGGCCACACACAAUCCUGUCCCUGAUAAGAGAGUCUGUGAUUACUCCAAAGUCGCAGGUGGCCACUAGAGUCCUCACUUCAUUGAGAUAUUUGUCUAAACUCUCAUCUUGGCCCUGACUUCGCAUUAAAAAAUUAUCUCUCAAUUGUUUCAUUUUUCUUGGGAUCACAAAAUGCAUCCAGUGCUGCAAUUACUUCUUCAACAAAGAGAUUGUCUUUUGUACUGCCCACACAUAGGGUCUCACAAAUCUCUCUGCCUUUUUCCCCAAUGAGAUAAUAGAGUAGCUUCACUUUGUAGUCAUCACGUUUUUCUCUCAUUGUAAGAGCCAUGUACAAAUUCAAUUCCUCUUUCCAUCUUUUCCAGGUCAGUGCUAAAUUACAAUCAUCAAAGUCUAUUUUUCCCGUAGGUUUCAGUGCAUUUUCCAUGGCGAUUUAGUUGUAGAAUGGAACGUUAGCUACUCACGAAUCUGCUUGUAUCCAAUAGCCAGCUAGCUUUUAGCACAGAGUCACUCACGAUAGCCAGUUAACGUAGACGUUCGGCGCGAUGACUAGCCUGUAAACGCGGCACUUUUUCAAACUGUCGCCUGGGAUGUAUUCUUCAUUUACAUCGAUGAGAUACAGGUUCUUUUGAGUACCGCUGCCACCAUGUUUCAAUAUGCUUUGUGUUGUAGUCAUGACAGACAAAGAUAUAUAGUUAAGCAAACUUUACUAGGCAUGUUGUCGACCAGCACAUUAAUAAAGUAAGUAACAACCGGUUUCCGUUUCCUGUGUAACAUCAAUAUGAGUAACAUCAAUAUUGCUACAUCUGUAAUAGAAUACAAGUGUUAAAAAAACAAAUAUAGACAUUAAUAAAUGCAUUUCUGUCGCUUCCAAAAUAUUUUUUACAAUGGUGGGUGAGUGCCAAGAUGGAGGCACAGUGGCUUCAACACAACAAGCCUAUCAGUCCUCUAGUGUAUAUAUAAAUCGUUGGGUGAAACAUCUGGUUCAUUGUUCUAUCCGUGUUGUUAAUGCACAGAUUAUCCACUAUAUAGUCUACCACAGUAAGAGUCAUAAUAGUCAUAAUACCCAUAAAACCUAUCGUUCAAACAUGUAAACGGUUUCAAUAAUUUUUCCACCAUUCUUUUUCCCAUAGGGGAUUUUAGAACCACUUCACAUGUAUGUCAUCUAGGCUUACCCUGGCGUGAUGUUUUGCUAAUCGUGUAAAUCUCUCUCGGACAAGGUCACUUAUCAAUAUCAUACAGAACUACACAUCCUGUCGCAAGCUUUGGCAUCAUCACUCAAGCCAGCGUUUCAGAGUAGGAAAAACAUCCACAUUUCUCCAUGUAAAUUCAUAUCGACAAGUAGCAAGUAACCUAGCAAGUAAAGUAAAAUAGAAUAAGUAGUAGAUAUUAAAGCUUUUUUGUAGUUUCUCAAUUAUAUAAUUGACAUUGUGUAUUUAUCGUGUGUAUUGUUGUUCAGCAUUUUUCAAAUUACCUACCUUAGCAUUUUUUUAUUACUAGUGUAACAGUGUAGGUUCCGUCCCUCUCUUCGCCCCAACCCGGGCUCGAACCAGGGACCCUUGCACACAUCAACAACUGACACCCCACGAAGCAUCGUUACUCAUCGCGCCACAAAAGCUGCGGCCCCCUGAUUGAAACGCUAUUAGCGCGCACCACCGCUAACUAACUAGCCAUUUCACAUCGGUUACACUAGGAUUUGUUUAAUUACCCUGGCCUAUAAAGCUAGCUAGCUAACCUUAGGUAUCUCUGUCGAUCAGAAGCAAGGAUGAUUCUGUGCUAUGUACCGGAUUUUAUCCACUACUCUGAUAAGCACACAUGCAUUUUAUCGUUUUCCAACCUCUGUAAGCGAGAAGCGUCGCUGGAGCCGUGUGAUAUGCCCAACAGGAGAGCAUCCCUCAAGCCAUCUGGUAAGUUGACUGAGAACACAUGAGGCGUGACACACGGAACAUCUUCAGGCUCCCUCCAUGAGAAGCAUUGCAUGAUGUUCAAAGCCACCCCCGGCAAGGAUAUCUGUUGGAAAUGAUGGCUCUCCCAUCUUUAGAUGUACUCUAUACAACUCUGUGUCCUAUCCAUCCAGCUCUACUUACUUCUUAUUAGGAGUUCAAUGAAAACAUUGAACUUCCAGGUGUAGCAUGGUUCAUUCUGAGUUGUGUACUUUUAAUGAGGACACUGCCACAACUGGAAGUCUGCUGGUUGGAUUAUUUUAAUGAGGACACUGCCACAACUGGAGGUCUGCUGGUUGGAUUAUUUUAAUGAGGACACUGCCACAACUGGAGGUCUGCUGGUUGGAUUCUUUUAAUUAGGACACUGCCACACCUGGAGGUCUGCUGGUUGGAUUCUUUUAAUUAGGACACUGCCACAACUGGAGGUCUGCUGGUUGGAUUAUUUUAAUGAGGACACUGCCACAACUGGAGGUCUGCUGGUUGGAUUAUUUUAAUGAGGACACUGCCACAACUGGAGGUCUGCUGGUUGGAUUCUUUUAAUGAGGACACUGCCACAACUGGAGGUCUGUUGGUUGGAUUCUUUUAAUGAGGACACUGCCACAACUGGAGGUCUGUUGGUUGGAUUAUUUUUAUUUGCCCUGCACACGAAGAAACAACACACAAUAUUUUAGCCCUUGGCGCAGUCACAGCUCUCAGGCACCUGCGCAAGCACAUGGACACUCACUCAAACACUGUCCCAAGUACUCACAAGUUACAAUAGGUACCCUAGUUAGCGAGCUCGGUGAAACUUGUUACCAUAAAUCUUUAUAUUUUCCACAUUGUAACAAACGUAUGGUAGCGUAACAGCACAUUGUGUAACAUUACCACGGUUUUAUAUUGAACAAUAGCGGAGCCAAGGACAACAUACCUCGCUAAGCCGAAGGUCAGGCAAAAGAGAACAAUAAGGAGGUACGGAAAUACAGAUAACCCUCGAUGGGCCAAACCAAAAUAUACAAAACUUUUACAAUCACUUGUAUGUACAAUAUUGAUAUGAAAAACUGUUUGUACACCAAAAAAUAACAUUAGCUAUGCAGCUGUAAUUAAAUAUAAAAAAACACACAGAAUUAUUUUUAUUAUUAUCAAAUGAUUAACAUCCCCUCUUGACCUGGCCUAUUUGAAUUGGUCCUUGUGUGCAACUUGGUGCAUAAUCUAGGGGAACAACAUCACACUGCUACACAGGCACCUCCACCAUGGCACAGUUCCAGAAUGUUCUCACUGAGGUGCAUCUUGUGGGCUCAAUGUUUUUCCCAUACAAACCACAGAAACGGUUUUGUUCCACGAAUGCAUCUGUUGUACAUGACUAAUCAAAUUACCUGUGACGUCAGUUAGACACGUCAGUCCCUUUCAGAUGAUUCCUCAACCACUGUUGCUCCUCCUUGGUGAUUUUACGGCUCAGAGUGUUUUAACUUUGCUCUUGAGAAUUUUUAUCAUAAGUACAGUCGUAUAGCUCAUUGCAAGACUUCACCUCUUUUGGACAAAUAGUACCCUUGACUGUCCUGAUCAUCUAGUUAAGCAUUCCAGAUAAAUCCUCCAUCCCAGCAGGAAUGUCCCAUCCACAUAAUGAUAUAUGAUUUUCCAGCUCAGCAUUCUUAGGUGUUAUUCUGUGUUCUAUGAAAAUGGAGUGAGUCAACUCAUUGUCCAGUGAGUGAGGCUUGCCUACAUAGUGCUUAGUUAGUAGCCUAGUUGUGGUUCACUUCCACUAGAAGGUCCUUGUUAUUCCCACCAGGUGUUUCUUCAGGCUGUUGGGGAUUGCCUCAACAUUUUUCCCACACAAACCACAAAAACAGUUUUGCUCCACUGAGUGCAUCUGUUGAACAGGAUUUUUUCACCUGACUUUGAAAAUACAAAUGGGAAGGAUCAUACAAAUCAAGACUAUGAAUGCAUUUAGCUCUAUGACAGUGGUUCCCAACCAGAGGUACUAGGAUCCCUGAAGGUACUUGGCCUAUCCACAGGGGGUACUUAAGAAGACUCAUGAGGCCAUAGCCCUACUGGUAAAAUGCAUAUGAGGGGGUACCCUGGGCAGAGCAGAAUUCAGUUGGUCGUACAGUACAGUAACCGAAAAAGGUUGGGAACUACUGCUCUAUGACAGAGCACUCCUAAAAAGUAAAUACUGUGUAUUGGUAGAUUUGUCUCUGGAUGUCUAAAUAAUAAAUUCAAACAUUUCUGAAUGUGAA